UAGGGUCGGGGGGAGAUAUAGGGUCAAGGAGGACAUAUAGGGUCAGGGGAGGAUAUAGGGUCAAGGAGGACAUAUAGGGUCAAGGGGCGAUUUAGGGUCAGGGGAGGAUAUAGGGUCAAGGAGGACAUAUAGGGUCAAGGGGUGAUUUAGGGUCAGGGGAGGAUAUAGGGUCGGGGGGGGGAUAUGGGCUGUACUGGGCUGUACUGGGUUAUACUGGGCCAUACUGGGAUGGACUGGGCUGGGUUAUACUGGGCUGAACUGGGCUAUACUGGUUUGUACUGGUUUAUACUGGGAUACAUGGGGCUAUACUGGUUUAUACUGGUUUAUACUGGUUUAUACUGGGAUAUAUGGGGCUAUACUGGUUUAUACUGGUUUAUACUGGGAUACAUGGGGCUAUACUGGUUCAUACUGGUUUAUACUGGUUUAUACUGGGAUACAUGGGGCUAUACUGGUUUAUACUGGUUUAUACUGGUUUGUUCUGGGAUACAUGGGGCUAUACUGGUUCAUACUGGUUUAUACUGGUUUGUACUGGGAUAUAUGGGGCUAUACUGGUUUAUACUGGUUUAUACUGGUUUAUACUGGGAUACAUGGGGCUAUACUGGUUCAUACUGGUUUAUACUGGUUUAUACUGGGAUAUAUGGGGCUAUACUGGGCUAUGCUAGUUUAUACUGGUUUAUACUGGGAUAUACUGGGCUAUACUGUGCUAUACUGGUUUAUACUGGGCUAUAUACUGCUAUACUGGUCCAUACUGGUCCAUACUGGUCCAUACUGGGCUGUCUAUAAUGAUCCAUACUGGGCCAUACUGUUCCAUACUGGUCCAUACUGGUCUGUACUGGUCCAUACUGGGCCUUACGGUUCUAUACUGGUCCAUACUGGUCUAUACUGGUCUAUACUGGGCCAUACUGGUCUGUACUGGUCCAUACUGGGCCUUACGGUUCUAUACUGGUCCAUACUGGUCUAUACUGGGCCAUACUGGUCUGUACUGGGCCAUACUGGUCUGUACUGGUCUAUACUGAGCCAUACUGGUCCGUACUGGGCCAUACUGGUCCAUACUGGUCUAUACUGGGCCAUACUGGUCUGUACUGGUCUAUACUGGUCUAUACUGGGCCAUACUGGACUAUACAGGGUCACAUAUGGGGUCAUUUAUGGGGUGACAUAUAGGGUUAUAUGGGGUUAUACGAGGUCAUAUAUGGGGUCAGAUAUGGGGUUUUAUAUGGGGUUUUAUAUGGGGUUAUAUGGGGCCAUUUAUGGGGUCAUAUAUGGGGUCAUAAAAGGGGGUUUAUAUGGGAUUAUAUAUGGGAUCAUAUAUGGGGUUAUAUAUGGGGUUUUAUAUGGGAUCAGAUAUGGGGUCAUUUAUGGGGUCAUAUAUGGGAUUAUAUAUGGGAUCAUAUAUGGGGUUAUAUAUGGGGUUUUAUAUGGGAUCAUAUAUGGGGCCAUAUAUGGGGUUAUAUAUGGGAUCAUAUAUGGGGUCAUAAAAGGGGGUUUAUAUGGGAUUAUAUAUGGGACCAUAUAUGGGGUUUUAUAUGGGAUCAGAUAUGGGGCCAUUUAUGGGGUCAUAUAUGGGAUUAUAUAUGGGAUCAUAUAUGGGGCCAUUUAUGGGGUUAUAUAUGGGGUUAUAGAUAGGGUCAUAUAUGGGGUCAUAUAUGGGGUUAUAUGUGGGGUUUUAUAUGGGGUUAUAUGGGGUCAUUUAUGGGGUUGUAUAUGGGGUGACAUAUAGGGUUAUGUGGGG
ensembl:lncRNA